AGAGUUUGAUCCUGGCUCAGGAUGAACGCUAGCGGCAGGCUAAUACAUGCAAGUCGAGGGAUAACAGGAAGUGCUUGCACUUCGCUGACGACCGGCGCACGGGUGAGUAUCGCGUAUACAAUCUGCCUCAUACUAGGGAAUAGCCCGAAGAAAUUUGGAUUAAUGCCCUAUAGUAUCUUUUUAAGGCAUCUUAUUAAGAUUAAAGGUUACGGUAUGAGAUGAGUAUGCGUUCUAUUAGCUAGUAGGUGUGGUAACGGCACACCUAGGCUACGAUAGAUAGGGGCCCUGAGAGGGGGAUCCCCCACACUGGUACUGAGACACGGACCAGACUCCUACGGGAGGCAGCAGUAAGGAAUAUUGGUCAAUGGACGAAAGUCUGAACCAGCCAUGCCGCGUGCAGGAUGACUGCCCUAUGGGUUGUAAACUGCUUUUAUAUAGGAAGAAAAACUUUCUCGUGAGAAAGCUUGACGGUACUAUAAGAAUAAGGAUCGGCUAACUCCGUGCCAGCAGCCGCGGUAAUACGGAGGAUCCAAGCGUUAUCCGGAAUCAUUGGGUUUAAAGGGUCCGUAGGUGGACAAAUAAGUCAGAGGUGAAAUCCUGCAGCUCAACUGUGGAACUGCCUUUGAUACUGUUUGUCUUGAGUUAUUAUGAAGUGGUUAGAAUGUGUAGUGUAGCGGUGAAAUGCAUAGAUAUUACACAGAAUACCGAUUGCGAAGGCAGAUCACUAAUAAUCAACUGACACUGAUGGACGAAAGCGUGGGUAGCGAACAGGAUUAGAUACCCUGGUAGUCCACGCCGUAAACGAUGGUCACUAGCUGUUUGGACUUCGGUCUGAGUGGCUAAGCGAAAGUGAUAAGUGACCCACCUGGGGAGUACGUUCGCAAGAAUGAAACUCAAAGGAAUUGACGG
rnacentral:rRNA from 1 species